GUACUGCUUCGGCAGUACAUAUGUAUACUAAAAUUGGAACGAUACAGAGAAGAUUAGCAUGGCCCCUGCGCAAGGAUGACACGCAAAAUCGUGAAGCGUUCCACAUUUUU
rnacentral:snRNA from 1 species